ensembl:lncRNA
AAUCAACACAGCAGAUGGUGAUCCAUGCUGUGGAAGUCUCACAUCUCCUGAUUUAAUGGAGCUGCUUUGCACUUUUUACACUGUUUAUUCACCAACACUUUAUUUAAUAAAGGUCCCAUCUAGUUUUUAUGAGGAAUGUGAUGUUUUAAUUUCUCUGUGAAUAACUGCAGUCUAAUGGAACAGCUGGAGUUGUAACAUCUGUCCUGAUAUUGAUCAUGAAGUAUUGAUCAGAAUACUUAUGAUGCACAAUGAGGGACGUCUGCAGAGACUGAGAAAGAGUCUCACCACAUCCUGACAUGAGGAAAAAGACUUUAUUGAAGACUACAAUGAGAAAAACUAUCAGACAGCAGACUGCUGCAUUCAAGUCUGUAGCUGCUGAAUUCAUGGAUGAAUCAUCUGGCACUAGAGAGGAAGACCAUCAAACAUCCACGUCAGCUGAUGGAGGUCCGAGAGUCUCACCAAACAACCAACCUACAGAGUGAAGACCUCAAAUCUGAUUGGACGGCCUCCUAUUCAGCCACAUGUGUGAACAAAUGCCUCUAAGUUGAUUUGUUUUCUAAAAUAAAUCUAGUUUGAGUCCUAAUCUAUGCUUGUG